UCCGGACAAAAUCAAUGACAGCUCUUCCGUAACUCGAGGGCCUGGAACUCUUAGAAGGUCCCUGUGGUUUGCUGUCACAGUUGGCUGUUUGGCAGGGAUCUGACCUGUCAUUUGGAAGAACAAGGUUCUUAAAUUCCAGAGGUCACCUGGGAAUAGUGUCCAAGCUAGAGUCCAGCAUUCCCAGUUUCCUUCCCUAGAGAUCAAACUCAGGGCCUUGUGCACUCGAGGCAUUCAUUCUGUCCUUGAGCUACAUCUCCAGCCCUAACUUCCCACCUUCACCACAGAAGAAACCUAGGAGCGAUGGGAGUAAGAGAAUCACAAACCGAGUGAUGUAGAAAGCAGAUGGGAAAGAAGAUGGAUGAUGAACCAAAGACCUGUGACCAGAGAAAUNCUCAGACAGACAUAGCCAGGCCUGCCCUGUGGUCACUAGAAGCAGACACGCACCAGGAAGGUGAAGAAGGCUUGACCUGACGAAAGAACAGAGUCUCAUACUGUGAACAUUAGUGCAAGAAACAGUUCAUGACAUGCGUGGUGGUUUGAAUAGGAGUGGCCACCAUAGGCUCAUAAAUUUGAAUGCUUUGGUCACCAGGGAGCGGUGAGUAGGUGCGGCCUAGUUGGAGGAAGUACGUCACUGUGGGUGGUCUUUAGGGUUUCAAAUGCUCAAGCCAGUUUCUCCCUCCCUGCUGCCUCCCCAGCACCUGCAUGCCAUCUUGCUUCCUGACAUGACCAUAAUGGACGAAACCUCUGAAACUGUAAGCCAGCCCCAAUUAAAUGCUUUCUUUUAUAAGAGUUGUCAUAGUCCUACUANAUUUUUUGACACUGUGACAAAAUAUAGUAAUCUGAAAUGCUCAUGCUCACAUAAUAGAGUUAUAUGGUUUAAAACAAAAACAAAAAAAAAUGACUUCACAAAAUUCUUAGGCAAGUGGAUAGAUAUA